rnacentral:rRNA from 1 species
CCCUUAGAUGUUCUAGGCCGCACGCGCGCUACACUGAUGCAUUCAACGAGCCUAUCCUUGACCGACAGGUCCGGGUAAUCUUUGAAUCUGCAUCGUGACGGGGAUAGAUUAUUGCAAUUAUUAAUCUUCAACGAGGAAUGCCUAGUAGGCGCAAGUCAUCAGCUUGCGUCGAUUACGUCCCUGCCCUUUGUACACACCGCCCGUCGCUCCUACCGAUUGGGUGUGCUGGUGAAAUGUUCGGAUCGGCCGUUUGUCGCGGUUUCCGCGGCUCGUGGCUGAGAAGUUCAUUAAACCCUCCCACCUAGAGGAAGGAGAAGUCGUAACA